ACGGAAGGCAGCAGUGGGGGAUAUUGCACAAUGGGGGAAACCCUGAUGCAGCGACGCCGCGUGAGUGAAGAAGUAUUUCGGUAUGUAAAGCUCUUUAAGCUGGAAAGAUAAUGACGGUACCAGCAGAAUAAGCCCCGGCUAACUACGUGCCAGCAGCCGCGGUAAUACGUAGGGGGCAAGCGUUAUCCGGAUUUACUGGGUGUAAAGGGAGCGUAGACGGUAAAGCAAGUCUGAAGUGAAAUCAUAGGGCUUAACCCUGUAAUUGCUUUGGAAACUGUUUAACUAGAGUACCGGAUGGGUAGGCGGAAUUCCUGGUGUAGCGGUGAAAUGCGUAGAGAUCAGGAAGAACACCGAUGGCGAAGGCAGCUUGCUGGGGACUUAUCGACGCUCAUGCUCGAAAGUGCGGGUAGCAAACAGGAUUAGAUACCCUGGUA
rnacentral:rRNA from 1 species